UACGAAGGGUGCAAGCGUUACUCGGAAUUACUGGGCGUAAAGCGUGCGUAGGCGGUUCGUUAAGUCUGUCGUGAAAGCCCUGGGCUCAACCUGGGAAUUGCGAUGGAUACUGGCGGGCUAGAGUACGGUAGAGGAUGGUGGAAUUCCCGGUGUAGCGGUGAAAUGCGUAGAGAUCGGGAGGAACACCCGUGGCGAAAGCGACUUCCUGGUCCAGCACUGACGCUCAGGCACGAAAGCGUGGGGAGCAAAC
rnacentral:rRNA from 1 species